GGGUCUUCCUUGCAGCCUUCAAACCCGUUUGAGGCGGGCAUGGGACCUG
rnacentral:tRNA from 9 species